UACGUAGGUGGCAAGCGUUGUCCGGAUUUACUGGGCGUAAAGAGCGCGCAGGCGGUCGUCCAAGUCGCGUGUGAAAGCCCCCGGCUCAACUGGGGAGGGUCACGCGAUACUGGUCGACUCGAAGGCAGGAGAGGGUAGUGGAAUUCCCGGUGUAGUGGUGAAAUGCGUAGAUAUCGGGAGGAACACCAGUGGCGAAGGCGACUUCCUGGCCUGUUCUUGACGCUGAGGCGCGAAAGCUAGGGUAGCAAACGGG
rnacentral:rRNA from 1 species